UACCAGCACCCCGAGUGGUCGGGCCGAUUAUUGGGCCUAAAGCAUCCGUAGCCGGUUCUGCAAGUCCUCCGUUAAAUCCAGCUGCUCAACAGAUGGGCCGCGGAGGAUACUACAGAGCUAGGAGGCAGGAGAGGCAAGCGGUACUCAGUGGGUAGGGGUAAAAUCCGUUGAUCCAUUGAAGACCACCAGUGGCGAAGGCGGCUUGCCAGAAUGCGCUCGACGGUGAGGGAUGAAAGCUGGGGGAGCAAACCGG
rnacentral:rRNA from 1 species